rnacentral:rRNA from 1 species
AUUGAACGCUGGCGGCAUGCCUUACACAUGCAAGUCGAACGGCAGCACGGGAGCAAUCCUGGUGGCGAGUGGCGAACGGGUGAGUAAAGCAUCGGAACGUGCCCAGUCGUGGGGGAUAACGUAGCGAAAGUUACGCUAAUACCGCAUACGAUCUAUGGAUGAAAGCGGGGGAUCGCAAGACCUCGCGCGAUUGGAGCGGCCGAUGGCAGAUUAGGUAGUUGGUAGGGUAAAGGCCUACCAAGCUGACGAUCUGUAGCUGGUCUGAGAGGAUGAUCAGCCACACUGGGACUGAGACACGGCCCAGACUCCUACGGGAGGCAGCAGUGGGGAAUUUUGGACAAUGGGCGCAAGCCUGAUCCAGCCAUUCCGCGUGCAGGAUGAAGGCCUUCGGGUUGUAAACUGCUUUUGUACAGAACGAAAAGGCUCUGGUUAAUACCCGGGGCUCAUGACGGUACUGUAAGAAUAAGCACCGGCUAACUACGUGCCAGCCGCCGCAGUAA